CUCCCAUUUCCGGAAGCCUGGCGCAAGGUUGGUCUGCAGGUGGCCUCCAGGUGCAAAGUGGGAAGUGUGAGUCCUCAGUCUUGGGCUAUUCGGCCACGUGCCUGCCGGACAUGGGACGCUGGAGGGUCAGCAGCGUGGAGUCCUGGCCUUUUGCGUCCACGGGUGGGAAAUUGGCCAUUGCCACGGCGGGAACUGGGACUCAGGCUGCCCCCCGGCCGUUUCUCAUCCGUCCACCGGACUCGUGGGCGCUCGCACUGGCGCUGAUGUAGUUUCCUGACCUCUGACCCGUAUUGUCUCCAGAUUAAAGGUACGACAUUUGGAGGCCCCAGCGAGAAACGUCACCGGGAGAAACGUCACCGGGCGAGAGCCGGGCCCGCUGUGUGCUCCCCCGGAAGGACAGCCAGCUUGUAGGGGGGAGUGCCACCUGAAAAAAAAAUUUCCAGGUCCCCAAAGGGUGACCGUCUUCCGGAGGACAGCGGAUCGACUACCAUGUGGGUGCCCACAAAAAUUCCACCUCUGAGUCCUCAACUGCUGACCCCGGGGUCAGAGUCUCACUCUGUUUCCCAGGCUGGAGUUCUGUGGCACCGUGUUGGCUCACUGCAACCUCCGUCUCCUGGGUUCAAGCAAUUCUCUUGCCUCAGCCUCCAGAGUAGCUGGGAUUACAGGUGCCCACCACCACACCCGGCUAAUUUUUUUAUAUUUUUAGUAGACACGGGGUUUCACCAUGUUGGCCAGGCCGGUCUUGAACUUGUGACGUCAGGUGAUGCACCCGCCUUGGCCUCCCAAAGUGCUGGGAUUACAGGUCCAGAUUUUGAACAAAUCUCGCUAGAGAUUGAACAGAGCUGCGCCUGGAUCCCGCCACAGUGAGGAGACCUGAAGACCAGAGAAAACACAGCAAACGGAGUCUUGCUCUGUUGUCCAGGCUGGAGUGUAGUGUGGCGAUCUCGGCUCCCUGCAAGAAUCUGCCUCCCAGAUUCACGCCAUUUUCCCACCUCAGCCCCUGGAGUAGCUGGAAGUACAGGCUCCCGCCACCACGCCUGGCUAAUUUUGUUUUUGUAUUUUUAGUAGAGACGGGGUUUCACUGUGUUAGGUAGGAUGGUCUCGAUCUCCUGACCUCAUGAUCCAUCCGCCUUGGCCUCUCAAAGUGCUGGGAUUACAGGCAUGAGCCACCGCACCUGGCUGUUUUUUCAUUUCUAUUAUGAUUUGUUCUGUGGAAUGUCAGUGACUUAGCGGUGUUUUUCACAUGUUUAUAAAGCUGAAUAGUUCUGUAUGUCAGCUCAGCACCCCUAGUGUCAGUCAUGCUACUCUCCUGCUGUGCAUAGAUGGGGGCCUGUCCACACCCAAAUCUCCUGGGUUCCCGCUGUCCGCACCUGAAGGUACCCACCAGAUGUGUCUGUCACUGCCCUCCAUCCACCUUUCUUGUGGUUCUCAUGUUUCUGCCUCCCUAGAGACCAUUUCUCUCUACAGCAGUAGUUUCCAAUAGAAAUACAAUGCCAGACACAUACGUCAUUUUAGAUUUUCUAGUAGUCACUUUAGAAAAGUGAAAAAGAGGCCAGCUGCAGUGGCUCACACCUGUAAUCCCAGCACUUUGGAAGGCUGAGGUGGGUGGAUCACGAGGUCAGGAGAUCGAGACCAUCCUGGCCAACAUGGUGAAACCCCCUCUCUACUAAAAAUACAAAAAAUUAGCUGGGCGUGGUGGCAGGCGCCUGUAGUCCCAGCUACUCGAGAGGCUGAGGCAGGAGAAUGGCGUGAACCCGGUAGGCAGAGCUUGCAGUGAGCCGAGAUAGCGCCACUGCACUCCAGCCUGGGCGACAGAGGGAGACUCCAUCUCAAAAAAAAAAAAAAGGUUACAAAGAAACAGGUGAAAUUAGUUUUAUUUCACCUAAAAUGUUAGCAUUAUCCAAAAUA
rnacentral:lncRNA from 1 species